rnacentral:rRNA from 1 species
UGGCGAACGGGUGAGUAACGCGUGAGGAACCUGCCUCAAAGAGGGGGACAACGGUUGGAAACGACUGCUAAUACCGCAUAAGCCCACGGGUCGGCAUCGACCUGAGGGAAAAGGAGCAAUCCGCUUUGAGAUGGCCUCGCGUCCGAUUAGCUAGUUGGUGAGGUAACGGCCCACCAAGGCGACGAUCGGUAGCCGGACUGAGAGGUUGAACGGCCACAUUGGGACUGAGACACGGCCCAG